GAUGAACGCUGACAGCAUGCUUAACACAUGCAAGUCGGUGGCGGACGGGUGAGUAACGCGUAAGAACUUACCUCACAGCUAGGGACAACAUUUGGAAACGAAUGCUAAUACCUAAUACUGUGAGAGAGCUUUGCGUCCCAUUAGCUAGUUGGAGGGGUAACGGCCCACCAAGGCGAUGAGCAGUAGCCGGUCUGAGAGGAUGAACGGCCACAUUGGGACUGAGACACGGCCCAGACUCCUACGGGAGGCAGCAGUGGGGAAUAUUGCACAAUGGGCGCAAGCCUGAUGCAGCCAUGCCGCGUGUAUGAAGAAGGCCUUAGGGUUGUAAAGUACUUUCAGUCGGGAGGCGUUACCGACAGAAGAAGCACCGGCUAACUCCGUGCCAGCAGCCGCGGUAAUAC
rnacentral:rRNA from 1 species